rnacentral:lncRNA from 1 species
UUUUUGUAAAUAACACAUAUACAGUUCAAAGGUAUUGAUAAUACUUAUACAAUCCCAUGGUAUACGUAAUAGAUCAUGCUUUUAUGGAUGCACGGGUAAUUCAUAUACCUGCUGGUCACAUCCAUGUUUCUGGCACUAUGUAUAUAACUGCCAAUUAUAAUUCAUGUAUGUCGUAGUUUAACGAAAACAGACGCCAGACGACCUUUCGCUUGUAGAGCAAAUGGUCUGUUUAUUCGUAUGUAUACCCUUCACUGCAGUACUUCUGGAUCCGUCAUUGGCUCAGAUAAUUCUCCACUGAGAUUAUAAGCAUACGCUUUUACAAACCUCAGUUGCAGGGAUUUUUGUUCAUUGGGCAGGAGUGGUAACCGUAGCCACCUGAACCUGGCCUCCCAUUGAGUACGUUCACCGCCGACGGCAUUUCGCCUGUCUGCAGCCUAUCAUCUCCCGCCAACUUCCUCGCCGGAGCUGCAGCAGCAGAGGAUGUAAUCACCAGUAGGACGAACACAAGGACUGUUGCCGCCUUCAUGCUUCACCAGCCGUGGUAUAGAUCUGUGUGCGAAAGAAACAAAAAUUGAGGAAAUGGGCUUAUCGAAUCAAAGGGGAUUUGAAGGGUGAAUUCCUUGGUAUGUUCUUGGAUCGAACCUGAAGUGCCUUGCUUAAUUGUGUUUAAUCUUGAUCUAAGUUGGAUGAUUUUUUCAAUGCGACAGAGUUGUGAUAUUUAUAGCAGGUUGGCAACUUGGCAUACAGUAGUAUACUGCUCUUGUGUAUAGAUCUUCGCCACUAGCAAGGGCAGAUAUGCAACUAGCAUGAUCGAUCGACAAUAUGAAGUGGUUUACUUGCAGGAAUUCUCUGGCUCCAUCAAUUGCAGAAAUGACAGGUGAUGGNNNNNNNNNNCUGAUGAAAUAUCUGUGUAUCUUCACUUGGAGACCUAUAUAUAGAUAGUAAAUUGUAGUUAUAUUUAGGGGCACUGUUCUAUUGCAUUGUGACGGCAACGAGCAAUAUCUGAAGGACAAAUAUGGUUUUCUAGUUGCAUGCAUCGACAUCAGAAUAUCUCUAUCAUGACUUAGUCGAAUGUGAUAAUUAUCUUGUUUUUAUUAUUACAAAUGAUGCUUUUAUUAACCUAAAAUAUAGCAUGAAAUGGAUAUGAUACAUGAUGAGGGACACUCCGCCCAGGGUUCGUCCUGAGAUUUAGGAGGACCGGGGCGGAACUAAAACAUGAGCCAUUUAAUGUAAACACCAUAACAAUGAUAAUCAUUAUAUAUAGGACGCAGAUCUUUGAAACAUGGUGCCAAUGCACCUGACUUGAAAAAAACAAUUAAAGAACUAAAUGAGUAAAUUUUAUGUAAAAUUUGUUUGUAACUAACACGGUCUAGGGUAAUACUCUUGUGGAAAGUUUCCGGGAGAAAUGACUCUGAUGGUAUUCUUAAAUAAAAUCGAAGUCUAAAAAUAUGGAUAGUAAUAUUAAUAUGGUAUCAAUUUUUUUUCUGUCUAGGAUACCAUUGUAGUCGUUCCUUCGUGAAAGUUUUCACAGAGAAUUAUGCUAAGUUAUCUUUGUUAAAGAAAGUUCCAGAAUUUGUUGACUCUUUUCGUUAUUUUUAAAACAAAAAUUUCAGUUCGGAUGGAGUGGGACCUGAGACACAUUUGCUUCGGUAGACCCCGCUCCACAAAACGUAGAAAGGAAAACGUAUACCCACCUCAUAUUGUAUAUAUUUUUAUACACUACUGGAAGCCAUACGGUUUACAUACGUAUGGUAGUCUGUAGUGUAUAAUACGAGGUGGAUAUACGAUUUCCGUUAUACAUUCUGUUGGGGGAGGGGGGGGGGGGGUUCAACCGAAGAACUACCUCUUGUAAUUUUCUGCCAUAUGUAGGACUACAUACCUGUACAAAUAUACAUUAAAUGUUAUCAAUUAAAACUUGAAUGCAUCUAAAGUAAUAUUUAUAUCACAUAACUUGUGUAUAUUACCUUAUCACAAUUCUACAUUACUCGAUGCAAAGCAACAUAAGAUGCAAACUUAACUUCAAAUUUUGGAUGCAUUUGCGCCAUUUCUCAGGAGAAAUCAUUCAUUCUCAAGGUCCACUGGAGAAAUGGUCAUUUAACUUUCUCAUAGUACUUCUCAAGGCCAAUGUUGAAUACUACUUCACUCCUGUCCUUCCGGUGCAUCUCGUUCACAGCCUCAUGUAGGAUCAUUAUUCAAAUCAAGUAUAUUCAUUCCUUGCAUGAACACCGAUUUGGCAACCAACUUGAGCCUAUUAGUACCAACUUUGGUGAAGAUUUUGAAGCUUUCCUAAAUGAGCCAUAUCGAUGUUUUUUUUUAAAAACCGUGUACAAGUCAUCACACACAGUUACAUUUUUAGUACUACGUGUAGUAUUGCGAUAUCUUUCUUUCACGAAUACGCAAAGUCGGCGUAUUAUUACAUUGAUAGAAGAAGUNNNNNNNNNNAGAGGCAAGCAUCAUGGACAUGGUGCCCGAAGCACAUAGACGUGAGAUGCUCGACCCAAACAAACACUAACACAGCUAAAUUCGUCGACCAGAGAAAUAGUCCGACCAACAUCUAUGAAGCCAGCACCAUGGACACCGCGAGUAAACAAGACAACGCCUUAACAAAGGCGAACAACACCAAGUUGUUGCCUUGUCCAAUCCAUAAAAUCGGACCUAGGGUUUCCCCCGAUGAUAUUGGAGAGUGGGGCACAAAUAAUUGACAUGGCAACACUUCCUAGACGGGGCGGUGCCUACGGGUGUCGCGGCUGCUAGAAUAGAAUCUGUAGAUUUUGGCCUGGCGGGUUGUGAAUGUGGGUGAAUCCCCGGACAAGACGGGGUCUGCAAGGAGCGCAGAUCGACAUCACCAUGACUGAAGAACCAGGGGCGCCGGUGAGACCAAGGAGCUAGAAAGGAGACACAACUCCUAGAGCGUGCCAAAACCGAAGCAGACCUCUUGUAAUUUUCUGUUAUAUGUAGGACUAGAUACCUGUACAAAUAUACAUCAAAUGUUAUCAAUUAACACUUGAAUGCAUCUAAAAGUAAUAUCUAUGUCACAUAACUUGUGUAUAUUACCUUAUCAUAAUUCUACAUUACUCCAUGUAAAGCAACAUAUGAUGCAAACUUAUCUUCAAAUUUUGGAUGCAUUUGUGCCAUUUCUCAGGAGAAAUCAUUCAUUCUCAAGGUCCAUUCGAGAAAUGGCCAUUUAACUUUGUCAUAAUACUUCUCAACGCCAAUGUUGAAUACUACUUCACUCCUGUCCUUCUUGUGCAUCUCCCUCACAGUCUCAUGUAGGAUUGUUACUCAAAUAAAGUAUAUUCAUUCCUUGCAUGAACACCGAUUUGGGAUGGCCUAACAACAUGUCUAGCAACCGACUUGAGCCUAUUAGUACCAACUUUGGUGAAGAUUUUGAAGCUUCCAUAAAUGAGGCAUAUCGGUCUCUCUUUUGUGAAAACCGUGUGCAAGUCAUCACACACAGUUACAUUUUUAGUACUAUGUGUAGUAUUGCGAUAUCUUUCUUUCACGAAUACGCAAAGUCGGCAUAUUAUUAUAUUGAUAGAAGAAGUUAGAAUGAAUACACGAGGUGGUACAACACAUAGCACGGAGGCAAGCAGCAUGGACAUGGUGCCUGGAGCACAUAGACGUGAGAUGCUCGACCCAAACAAAGACUAACAUGGCUAAAUUUGUCGACCAUAGAAAUAGUCCGACCAACAUCUAUGAAGCCAGCAUUCGACCGCGCGCCACCUUCCGAGAUGGGAGCACCACAGCCGCCCUGCCGCGCGCGAGGCCCAGGAUACCGGUGACCCGGCCGCCCCGCCAGCCCGCCGUUGCGUCCCGCGGCCGCCCAACGCCGCCACCCGAGGAGUCCGCCCGCGCCGAAGCCCCACGAGCAGAGGGGGAAGAAGGGCCCCGCCGCCGUCGUGCUCACCGGGCUUUGCCCGAUAUCGCGUGCCGACGGCUGCGGGGAGGAGGGGAGGGAGGCGGGUCGAAGUGGAUGGCGGCUAGGGUUCCCCCCGGCGCGCACGUAUGUUGAUUUCCAUUAUUACAUGACAUCUCUUGGUCCCCUCUCGAAAAUGCACGUCGUAUGUUGUAUGUUGAUUUCCAUUAUUACAACUUGUGACUUGACAUCUCUUGGUAGUUCAAUUUCUUUGAUAACAAAAUGAUCAUAUUUUUAGUUAUUCCAUUGUUAUGUCGUCUCUCCAUCCCCUGGUUGAAUGGCACAAGGACACAAAAAUAACUAACAAACAAAAGCAAAAAAACUACGCAAGUGCAAAGAUCCUGGGUCUCCCCGACCUCCCGGCGCCGAUACCUAUUGUCGAGGGAGACUUCCGGAAUUAGCGGGGACAAGGAUGAGAUGUUGUCUUGCGGCUAGGAUUUUCUUUUUUUGGUUUGGGCUUUUCUUUUUUGGUUGGUGAGUGUGAGUAUUGGUGAGUACAUCCAAGAAAUUCUAGGAAAAGGUAUUGAUCAUUUUUCUGUUGUACAAAAAAAACAUCUCUUAUAGAAGUACAUACAUAAAUGAUCAUAUGUUUUACAUUUAGGAAAUUUACUUCAAUUAAUUACACAGUACCACAAUUUUUAUCAGAGAUUUUUGAAGUGCUCAAGUUUACGUACGAAAACCUGCCAAGGAGUGCAGUGGACCUUCCUUUUUCUUUUACUAAAUCAGCGGCAGGAGCUCUGACAUUCAAUAUAAGUAGAAGAAAGUUGCCCAGUAAACUAAGGACGAAAACCAACAUCUACUCCCUCUGAUGGGAAUUGGGAAAUAACUGUCGUGGUUUUAGUUCAAAUUAGUCGCCCUGCCAUUCUACUAUGCAUGAAUCGGCAGUUAUCUUGGUAAAUAAUGCAUAUAUAUUCAAAAGGUAUUCAUAAUACUUAUACAAUCCGAUCGUAUACAUCAUACAUCAUGCUUUUAUGGAUGCACGGGUAAUAUAUAUAUCUGCUGGUCACAUCCAUGUUUCUGGCACUAUAUAACUGCCAAUUAUAAUUCAUGUAUGUCGUAGUUUAACGAGAACAGACGCGAGACCACCUUUUGCUUGGAGAGCAAACGGUCUGUUUAUUCGUAUAUAUGUAAACCCUUCACUGCAGUAAUUCUGGAUCCUUCAUUGGCUCAGGUAAUUCUCCACUGAACCAUGACAAGAUUUUAAGCAUACGCUUUUACAAACCUCAGUUGCAGGGAUAUUUGUUUAUUGGGCAGGUAUGGCAACCGUAGCAAUCUGAACCUGGCCUCCCGUUGAGUACGUUCACCUCCGACGGCAUUUCGCCUGUCUGCAGCCCAUCAUCUCCCGCCAACCUCCUCGCCGGAGCUGCAGCAGCAGAGGAUGUAAUCACCAGUAGGACCAACACAAGGACUGUAGCUGCCUUCAUGCUUCACAAGCGGUGGUAUAGAUCUGCGUGCAAAAGAAAUAAAAAAUUGAGGAAAUGGGCUUAUGGAAACAAAAGGGAUUCGAAGGGUGAAUUGCUUGGUAUUUACUUGGAUCGAACCUGAAGUGCCUUGCUUAAUUGUGUUUAAUCUUGAUCNNNNNNNNNNGAGUUGGAUGUGUUUUUCAGUGUGGGGGAGUUGUGAUAUUUAUAGGGGGUUGGCAACUUGGCAUGCAGUAGUGUACUGCUCUUGUGUGUAGAUCUUCGCCACUUGCAAUGUCAGAUAUGCAACUAGCAUGAUCAAUCGACAAUAUGAAGUGGUUUAUUUGCAGGAAUUCUCUGGCUCCAUCAAUUGCAGAAAUGACAGGUGAUGGAAUGAUGAAAUAUCUGUGUAUCUUCACUUGUAGACCUAUAUAUAGAUAGCAAAUUGUAGUUAUAUUUAGGGGCACUGUUCUAUUGCAUUGUGACGGCAGCGAGCAAUAUCUGGAGGACAAAUAUGGUUUUAUAGUUGCAUGCAUCUGGACAUCAGAAUAUUUCUAUCAUGACUUAAUCGAAUGUGGUAAUAUCUUGCUGUUAUUAUUAUAAAUAAUGCUUUUAUUAACCUAAAAUAUAGCAUGAAAUGGAUAUGAUACAUGAUGAGGGACACUCCGCCUAGGGUUCGUCCUGAGAUUUCGGAGGACCGGGGCCGAGCUGAAACAUGAGCCAUUUAAUGUAAACACCAUAACAAUGAUUAAUAUAUAUAGGACGCAGAUCUUUGAAACAUGGUGCCAAUGCACGUGACUUGAAAAAACAAUUAAAGAACUAAAUAAGUUAUUUUUUUGUAAAAUUUGUUUGUAACUAACACGGCCUACCGUAAUACUCAUGUGGAAAGUUUCCGGGACAAAUGACUCUUAUGGUAUUCUUAAAUAAAAUCGAACUCUAAAAAAUAUGAAUAGUUAUUUUAAUAUGGUAUCAAUUUUUUUACUGUCUAGGAUACCAUUGUAGUCGUUCCUUCGUGAAAGUUUUCACAGAGAAUUAUGCUAAGUUAUCUUUGUUAAAGAAAGUUCCAGAAUAUUUGGACUCUUCUCUUUAUUUUUAAAACGAAAAAAUAAAUUCGGAUGGAAUGGGACCUGAGACACAUUUCCUUUGGUAGACCCCCCUCCACAAAACAUAGAACGAAAACGUAUUCCCACCUCGUAUUGUACAUUUUUAUACACUACAGGACGUCAUACAUUUUGCAUACGUACGGUAGCCUGUAGUGUAUAAUACGAGGUGGAUAUACGUUUCCUUUCUAUAUUCUGGGAGGGGUUGGGGGUUGGGUGGGGUUCAACCGAAGAACACCUCUUCUAAUUUUCUGUUAUAUGUAGGACUACAUACCAGUACAAAUAUACAUUAAAUAUCAUCAAUUAACACUUGAAUGCAUCUAAUGUAAUAUUUGUAUCACAUAAGUUUUGUAUAUUACCUUAUCAUAAUUCUAGAUUAUUCGAUGCAAAGCAACAUAAGGUGCAAACUUAACUUAAAACUUUGGAUGCAUUUGCGCCAUUUCUCAGGAGAAAUCAUUCAUUCUCAAGGUCCACUGGAGAAAUGGCCAUUUAACUUUGUCAUAAUACUUCUCAACGCCAGUGUUGAAUACUACUUCACUCCUGUCCUUUUGGUGCAUCUCGUUCACAGUCUCAUGUAGGAUCAUUACUCAAAUCAAGUAUAUUCAUUCCUUGCAUGAACACCGAUUUGAGAUGGCCGAACGACAUGUCUAGCAACCGACUUGAGCCUAUUAGUACCAACUUUGGUGAAGAUUUUAAAGCUUCCGUAAAUGAGGCAUAUCGGUCUCUUUUUUCUGAAAAUCGUGUGCAAGUCAUCACACAGUUACAUUGUUAGUACUAUGUGUAAUAUUUCGAUAUCUUUUUUUCACGAAUACGCAAAGUCGGCGUAUUAUUACAUUGAUAGAAGAAGUNNNNNNNNNNNNNNNNNNNNNNNNNNNNNNNNNNNNNNNNNNNNNNNNNNNNNNNNNNNNNNNNNNNNNNNNNNNNNNNNNNNNNNNNNNNNNNNNNNNNNNNNNNNNNNNNNNNNNNNNNNNNNNNNNNNNNNNNNNNNNNNNNNNNNNCUGCCCAAAGCACAUAGACGUGAGAUUCUCGACCCUAACAAAGACUAACACGGCUAAACUCGUUGACCAGAGAAAUAGUCCGACCAAACAAGACAACGCCUUCACAAAGGCGAACCACACCAAUUUGCUGCCUCGUCCAAUCCAUAAAACCGGACCUAGGGUUUCCCCUGAUGAUAUUGGAGAGUGGGGCACGAAUAACGGGCAUGACAUCGCUUCCUAGACGGGGCGGUGCCCGUGGGUGUCGCGGCUGCUAGCAUAAAAUCCAUAGAUUUCGCCCUGGCUAAAUUCAAGGAAUCCUAAGCCGUCGGAACACAAAUCAGAGAAGAGCAAGUUGAGUAUAAGCCAAAACAUUGACUAUAGGAAGGAGAGCCACGCCCAACGGCGAAGGAGGCACUGACCAUUGUCGGGCGUUCUUACUCUGGAGGAGGAUAAGAUUGUGUGACUGAGCGGACUGAGCGGUGGUGGGUUGUGAAGGUUGGUGAAUCCCCGGACAAGACGGGAUCUGGAAAGGAGCGUAGAUCCUAAUCAUCGUGACUGAAGCAGCAGGGGGCGCCCCCGAGACCAAGGAGAUAGAAAGGAGACACAACUCCUAGAGCGUGCCAAAACCGAAUCAGACCUCUUGUAAUUUUCUGUUAUAUGUAGGACUACAUACCUGUACAAAUAUACAUUAAAUGUUAUCAAUUAACACUUGAAUGCAUCUAAAAGUAAUAUUUAUGUCAUAUAACUUGUGUAUAUUACCUUAUCAUAAUUCUACAUUACUUGAUGCAAAGCAACAUAUGAUGCAAACUUAACUUAAAAUUUUGGAUGCAUUUGCGCCAUUUCUCAGGAGAAAUCAUUCAUUCUGAAGGUCCACUUGAAAAAUGGCCAUUUAACUUUGUCAUAAUACUUUUCAACGCCAAUGUUGAAUACUACUUCACUCAUGUCCUUCUGAUGCAUCUCGUUCACAAUCUCAUGUAGGAUCAUUAGUCAAAUCAAGUAUAUUCAUUCCUUGCAUGAACACCGAUUUGGGAUGGACGAAUGACAUGUCUAGCAACCAACUUGAGCCUAUUAGUACCAACUUUGGUGAAGGUUUUGAUGCUUUCAUAAUUGAGACAUAUUGGUCUCUUUUUUGUGAAAACUGUGUGCAAGUCAUCAUACACUGUUACAUUUUUAGUACUAUGUGUAGUAUUCCGAUAUCUUACUUUCAUGAAUACGCAAAUUUAGCGUAUUAUUACAUUGAUAGAAGAAGUUAGAAUGAAUAAACGAGGUGGUAUAACGCAUAGCACGGAUGCAAGCAGCAUGGCCAUGGUGCUCGAAGCACAUAGACGUGAGAUGCUCGACCCAAACAAAGACUAACACGACUAAAAGUCGUCGACCAGAGAAAUAGUCCGACCAACAUCUUUGAAGCCAACACCAUGGACACCUCGAGCAAACAAGACAACGCCUUAACAAAGGCGAACCACACCAAGUUGUUGCCUCGUCCAAUCCAUAAAAUCGGACCUAGGAUUUCCCCUGAUGAUAUUAGAGAGUGGGGCACAAAUAACGGCCAUGGCAGUGCUUCCUAGACAGGGCGGUGCCCGCGGGUGUCGUGGCUGCUAGCAUAGAAUCCAUAGAUUUCGCCCUGGCUAAAUUCAAGGAAUCCCAAACCGUCGGAACACAAAUCAGAGAAGAGCAUGUUGAGUAUAAGUCAAAACGUUAACUGUAGGAAGGAGAGCCACACCCGAUGCCGAAGGAGGCACUGACCACCGCCGGACGUUCGUGCUCUGGAGGAGGAUAAGGUUGUGUUACUGAGCGGAAUGAGAGGUGGUGGGUUGUGAAGGUGGGUGAAUUUCCGGACAAGACGGGAUCUACAAAGGAGCGCAAAUCCACGUCACCGGGACCGAAGCAGUAGGGGCGCCGGCAAGCCCAAGGAGCUAGAAAGGUGACACAACUCCUAGAGUGUGCCAAAUCCAAAGAUGCGUCGGGAUGGACGAAAAAACCAAGGGCACCAUCAGGGUGGUGGUGCGGAGAUGUCGAUGAGCCAGCGAGCCGAUGUAGCCAGAAAGAGCACAACUCCCAUGGUGUGCCAGAUCUGAAGCCAUGCAUGUUGGCCCUCAACACAGGAGGGGCGCUGGUCCAGAGCCGCCUGGCGAAGCUGGCCUUAUGCGGAGAGGGGGUGAUGAAGAAGGUUCACACACAACCAAAUCUCCCGGCCGACGCGUUGAAGGAAGCCGUGCAACCUCUUGAGCUUGCGUUGGUUUUCCCUUGAAGAGGAAAGGGUGAUGCGGCGAAGUAGACAAGUCUUUUCGUUAGUUUCUUGAGAACCAAGGUAUCAAUCCAGUAGGAGGAAGAAGCAAGGCCCCAGUAUUAGUACCUACACAAACAAUCAAACACUUGCACCCAACGCUAUAAAGGGGUUGUCAAUCCCUUCAGAGUUAUUUGCAAGGAUGAGAUCUCAUAGAGAUAGAUAUAAAAGAUUGUGGAAAGAAAAGUAAAUAAAUUGCAGGAAUAUAUUUUUGGUUUAUAGAACUGAAAAUAUAAUAUGAAAAAUAGACCCGGCGGCCAUAGGUUUCACUAGAGGCUUCUCUCAUAAAGGAAAAUAAUACAGUGGUUGAACAAAUUACUGUCGAGCUAUUGAUAGAAAACCGAAUAAUUAUGAAGAUAUCCAAGGCAAUGAUUAUGCAUAUAGGCAUCACCUUCGUGUCAAGUAGACCGAAACGAUUAUGCAUCUACUAUUAUUACUCCACACAUCGACCGACUCCUGCCUGCAUCUAGAGUAUUAAGUUCAUGAAGAACAGAGUGACACAUUGAAUAAAAAGACAUGAUGUAGAGGGAUAUACUCAAGCAAUAUGAUGAAAACCCCAUCUUUUUAUCCUCCAUUGCAACAAUACAAUACGUGCCUCACUACCCCUACUAUGUCAGUGGAUGAGGACACUGCAAGAUUGAACCCAAAACUAAGCACUUCUCUCAUUGCAAGAAUUACCAAUCUAGUUGGCCAAACCAAACCAAUAACUCGAAAAGACAUGCAAAGAUAUGAAAUCAUGCAUAUAAGAAUUUAGAAGAGACUCAAAUAAUAUUCAUGUAUAAUCUGAACAUAAACUCACAAUUCUUUGGAUUUCGACAAACACACCGCAAAAGAGUAUUACAUCGGAUAGAUCUCCAUGAAGAUCAUGAAGAACAUGUUAUUGAAGAUCAAAGAGAGAGAAGAAGCCAUCUAACUACUAGAUAUGGGCCCGUAGGUCUGUGGUGAACUACUUACACAUUAUCGGAGGGGCAAUGGAGUUGAUGUAGAUGCCCUCCGUAAACAAUUCCCCCUCUGGCAGAUUACCGGAAAAGGCUCCCAGAUUGGAUCUCACAGGAAUAGAGACUCCCGACAGCGUAAAAGUAUUUUCGUGUCUCUUUUUGGCGAUACGAGAAUAUUUGGGAAAUUUAUAGGCCAAAGAAUAGGGUUAGGAGACCUGCAAGGGACCCACAAGCCAGGGGCGCGACCACCCCCUAGGGCGCGCCCUACAGGCUUGUGGCCUCCCGGGAGAUACCCUGCCCCCUACUCCAAGUCUGCUGCAUUUCUUCUGGUCCAAGAAAAAAAUUUCCGGAGAUUUUAUUCCGUUUACUAUUACUUAUCUGCAAUACUCAAAAACGUGGAAAAAAACAGAAACUGGCACUAGGCUCUAGAUUAAUAGGUUAGUCCCAAAAAAAAUAUAAAACAACAUAUAAAUGCAUAUAAAACAUUCAAAAUAGAUAAUAUAAUAGCAUAGAACAAUAAAAAAUUAUAGAUACGUUUGAGACCUGGAGCUAAACAUGUGGGGUGAGGAUGGUGUGGGUGGGAUAGGAGGGAGCACAACGAGGAGGACGUCACUCGUGAAGCCCCUCGGACACAGUAACACGAGAUGUUGGGGCCCGGCGGCGAAUAGGUCCUUCGAGACGCCCGAAUGGAGCGACACGAGGGUCGAGAGCGAGGGAGAGGGUCAGGUUGGUAAUAUUGCUGCAUCACGCACUAAGUUUUUGCGAUAUGUACAUAUCACACACACUUUUUAUCCACUGUUACGCUUUUGUGCAACAUACAAAUUUGUGAAGGACUAUGAUGAACCUAUAUUAGAAUAUUCUCAUAUUAUUAUUUUCUUGUCAAAACAAACACAAUACCUCACACAUUCAAUACAUGCAUGAAAAGGAGAGUUACCCCGUAAAUAAACCGUGUGUAAACCAAUCUAAGGCCAGUCUUGUGCGGGACCUCCUAUUUCGUAGAGUAUGCGUCAGAAACCAGCCGUGCACACUGCCUGCUGCCGUGCGUGCCCUUCUGGCCUGGCCCAUGUGCAGGUAGGGAAAACCCCUGUUUUCUUUUUUUUCUAUAAUCUAGGAAAUCAAAAGUUUUUACAUUUCAAAAAACUUGUGCAUGAAUUCAAAAUGUUUUCACAAUUUCAAAUAAUUUUUUGAGAAUUCAAAAAAUCUUCCUAAUUUUGAAAAUAGUUCAUGAUUCCUGAAAAUGUUAACGAUUUAAAAAAGAUAGUGAAAUAAAAGGAAUUCAUGAAUUAACAGAACGUUCACGGAUAUUUAAAACAUGUCCAUGAAUUUUCAAAAUAUUCAUGAUUUUCAAAAAUAAGUCAUGAACAAAAAAAUAUUUCAGAAUUUUUUAAGAUUGCAAAAACAGUACAAAAUUUAAUAUAAUGUUUACUAACUUGUAAGAAAAUGUACAUAUUUUUUAAAAGUAUCAAGGUUUGACAAAAUUCAUGAUUUUUAAAAAAUAUUCACGAAUUUAAAAUAUGGUGGCCAAUUAAAAAAGAAUAAAAAUGAACAAUGAAGACAAAAAGGAAAAUAAAAAGUAACUAGAAACAGAAAAUAAAAAGGAAACCCCGGAAGAGAAAAGGAAAUAAAGAAUCGAAAUAAAAAACAAUGAAUAAAAUCCCGCUCAAAACCCAGUAACUGCCGGCCCAAACAAAAACGCGCUACGAGUCGCGCCGUCGCAAGCCGGCGACCCGGGGAGCUCCUAGUCGGCGCUUAAGCGCCGGCUAGGAGAACCAGCGCCUAACGGCCCGCAAAAUAGGCCGGUCAAGUUCCAGGACUGAUUCUUUUUAUAAACAAAAUUUGAACACAAAAUGUUCAUAAAAGCGAACAUGGUUCCUAAAUUUUGUUAGCAAAGUUCACGAAUUUGGAAAAAUUCAUUGUGUUCCAAAAACGAAGUUGACAAAUUUUUAGAAAGUUCAAGGAUUUCAAAAAUUAGUUCCUGAAUUUGAAAAAGGUUUUAGAAAAAUUUCGUUGAAAUGAAUUUUUUUUCACGAAUCUUAAGAAAGUUCAUACAUUUCGAAAAAGGUUCAUCCAUUGCAAAAAAAGUUCAUCAAGUUUCAAAAACAAAUCAUCAAAAUUAGAGAAAAGUUCACGGAUUUUGAAAAUUAGUUCAUGAAUUUGGAAAACAAUUAAUCAAAACAAGGAUGCACUUUAAAAAAAAUGAAAUUAUAUAAAAAUAAUUCUAAAAUUGAAAAAUAAUUAAAAUAUUAAAUAAAAGAUAAACAAAUAAAAAAAACAAAGAAAUAAAAAAUCCCGGGAAAUAUCCCUCCCGCUGGGCUGGCUCAUGACAGGAUGCACAUUAACCUGCGCAUGCAGCGUCGAAUAGGAUUUGCCGGCAACCCGCGGAUUAAAUAGGAUGUCCCGCCUUGUGUAAUCUAGAGUGGCUGUGUAAUUAUUGAUUAUACUACAAAUUGACAGUCAUCUUCGGGCAUAAUACGUAUACAAUCCAAGGGUAAUACCCUGAUGCAGUAAGGUGCUGGUGCAACUGAUAAGGUUUUUUUAUUAAUUAUAUAAAAAGUUAAAAAAUUCAGAAACCUACUUUUGUAUUCGUAUACAAAGUUUAGCACAUGAAUACACUUCCAUUGACCCCAGGCGAAAAAAAACUCCAGGUAAAAACUAAUUAACAGUAACUUGCAUAUGUUCUUAAUCUUUUUUUAUCGCGCACAAUAUGCAGGGAAUUAUUUCUUCGCGAAACUUUUUGUAACGAUACAACAUUUGGGCAUGUAUGUUUCCAGAAAUUUUCAACACUGUUUUGACCUUUUCCAAAUCACUAAAUUAUUUUUGCAUCUUGUGGCUGGUCUCUCAGCCGAGUAUGCCCCUUAACAUCCAGGAGGACUCUGCUGGGGGGAUCGUUGGAACUCGUGGUUGCACCUGGUGUGGAGGUUGAUGGAUGUUCAAAUCUUUGACCAGCCAGACACCAUUCACUAGAAAUUAUCUAUGAAUGAUAUUUCUCUGUGAAAUCUAUGUACUUGGAUCUAAUUGACUCUGUGCCAAUCCCGGAAUCAUUUCAUAUCUGGAAGAUUCAAGUUAUUCUAAGAAUCAAAAUUUUCACGUGGUUUGUCCACAAGGAUGUGAUUUUAAUCAAGGAUAAUUUGGUAAUCAAAGUGAAAAUGGGUGGGUAGUUCUCCAUGUUGUUUAUGUGACAAGGAUGAAACAAUACAACACCUCUCUCUUGAUUGUCCUCUUGCUAAACUUCUCUGGCAUACGAUACAUAUAGGUUUGAAUGUUACCUCUCCAAUUAGUAUCAACACGUUAUUUGGAAUGUGGCUAACUGGUGUGUAAUCAAUUAUUGCAGGACAUAUUGAGAUAGGGAUAUGCACACUACUUUAGGCUAUACGGAACUGUAGAAAUGAUAUGCUCUUUAACAAACGGGUUAUUUAUAGGGCCACUGCUUGGAUCCGUAUGCUACUCGUUACUCACUCAUGCGGACUCCAAAGAGGUUUUGGUUACUGGGUGUAACCGAUGAAAGACAGCAUGGGUUAUCUAUAACCGAUUUGGAUGAUGAUCUAAUAAUAGCCUCGGUAUUUAGUCAUCUUGGAUUAUUUUUCGCCAGUUAUAACAACUUUCUAUCUUUACUCCAGUCAUGCUCCUUUUAUGAGCCAGUACUGAAUCUUAGAUUUUUUUGUUGCUUUAUUUAUGAAUAAAUUAGCUGCAUGCAUCAAUUAACAAGACAAUUUUCUGAUGCAGAGGCCCGAGGCCUUCCUCAUUUCCAAAAAAAUAAUAUCUCGUGCACCAGCAACCAAGUGCCACAAAUUCGGACUCUACAAUCCAAAGGUAUUCAUAUUAUAAUACAAUCCGAAUGUAUACAUGAUACAUCAUGCAUUUUUGGAUGCAAGGAUAAUACAUGAGAAAAAAAUACCAUACUAUAAAAAAUAAGAUGACCCCUGAAAAUAUGGUGUUAGCGUGUAUAUAGCAUUCUAUUAACGAGACAUUGUAUAUGAAUGAAAUUAACAAGACAAUUUUCUGCACGUUAUAGCACGCUAUUUCUCUUAAGGAUAAUACAUGCUAAUUUUAUCCUUUAUGGCACAAUAAUAACCGGUUACCAUUCAGCAUGGAUGGUGAGCUAUCUCAAAAUUAAUGAAUAACCGGUUAUGGUACUUUCUUUGUUCUUCUAAAUUUAGAGCAACUUCAAUGGAACGAUUCAAACGGACGGCGAUGGAGAUAAACAGCACGUACCGACCAAGUGUCGCGGUAGGUUGGCUGGUGCAGGCAGGUUUGAUAACUCAGUAAGAGAGUAUGACCACUUUGGGAAAUCCCCUAGCUUUCGUCCCUCACUGUCUACAGCGUAGCCGUCAUGGAACCCCAGUGUCUUCGUCAAGCAUUCCACUCUAGUUUUCGCUACCAGUGUUUCAACAACACACAAUACCGCUCGUCCGUUUUUUGUCCGUUUGGGUCGGCCGUUCGCCCGGCAUCCGCCCUGUUUUAGAUAUGGGCCGGCAGCGCGCCCAAGACGCCGAUCCAUAUGUGCCGGUGUGGUCGGCUGCCCGCUCUAUUUUGCAUGAAUUUGCAUAGUUUUAAUCAAAUAACAUAAUUUGGACCGAAUAAAAUAGCAUAGUUAUUACAAGCCGAAUAAAAAUAAAAAUGUCUCACAUAGUUUUGCAAACGAAUAAAAGAAGAUAAAUCUAUUGGUUGCCAACAUGAGCUAACAUAUGCUCAAUCAAAUCAUUCUGCAGUUGCACGUGAGUUUUCCAAUCACGCAUGUCUUGAUGAAAUUGGGCGAACUGUUCAAACGUUGCCGCUCCUCCAUGCUCAGGCACAACAUUCUCACCCUGAAACUGAAAUCCUUGAUCGUACAGACGUUCCGGGCGCUCGUCUUCUACGAUGAUAUUAUGCAUGAUCACAUAAGCAGCCAUCACCUCCCAUAGUUUCUGCGUGCUCCAGGUAUUAGCAGGAUACCGAACAAUGCCCCAUCGAGAUUGCAAAACACCAAAGGCACGCUCGACAUCCUUCCUAGCACUCUCUUGCUCAUGGGCAAAUCUUUUCCUCUUCUAUCCGACAGGGUUGGGUAUUGUCUUGACAAUAGUGGCCCAUUGAGGAUAGAUACCGUCAUCCAGGUAGUAUCCUUUGUCGUAGUUGUGGCCGUUGACAGUAAAGUUCACCGGUGGGCUGUUGCCUUCGGCAAGCCUAGCAAACAUGCACGUUGAUAUCAUUGUGUGAUCCGACCAUGCCAAAGAAAGAGUGCUAGAUCCAGAUAUCUUCAGACGCCAUGGCCUCUAGUAUGACAGUGCAAGCCCUGACAUGGCCCUUAUACUGCCUUUGCCAAGCAGAAGGGCAGUUCUUCCACUCCCAGUGCAUGCAGUCUAUGCUACCAAGCAUCCCUGGGAAGCCCCUGCUGGCAUUCAUAGCCAACAAACGGGUUGUAUCUUCAGCAGUCGGCUCUCUCAGGUACUCAGGGCCAAACACAUCAAUAACAGCCUUACAGAACUUAUACAUGCACUCUAGGCAAGUAGACUCGCUCAUACGGACGUACUCGUCAAUGAGAUCACCGAGCACUUCGUAUGCAAGCAUUAGGAUGGCGCCAGUGCAUUUCUGAUAAGAGGAAAAAUCUAUCUUGCCAAGGGCAUCCUCUUUGCACUCGAAAUAGUCAUCAUAGCCGACCACCCCCUUUCUAAUACGGUUGAAAAGAUGCCUACUCAUACGGAAACGGCGACGAAUUUUUUUAUGUUUGAACAGCAGGUUUGUUGUAUCAAAGUAGUCCUUCCAAUGAAGGAAAUGACAGCUCUCUCAGUUGCGAUUCAACGCCGGAAGGUGGUCCGGAAUGGAGCCACGGAACAACGACCGCUGGCUGUUGAGGUAGUGAUGGACUAACACGGCAGCCAAUAUCUCCUCCUGGUUAUCGGACGACGAAUCGUCGGAGUCGCAAAGGAAAUUGUGAAAAAAGAACUCAUCCGUGGAGUCCAUUUUAUACCUUGGCAAACUGUCGAACAGCUUGCGGGCGUCGACGAAGGAGACGGCCGACAAAGGGAGUCGCGACGCGCACGGACCAACUAACUGGCCUGCCGGCGUCCAACGAGUGGGCCGACGUCCGACGAGCGUGCCGGCCGGUGAGGAUCUGGCCGGGCGGCGAGGCGACUUCUUGGUCGGGGCGGGCUGUGUGGUGGUGGUGGAGGGUGGGAAGCAGUCGGCUCCCCGGCGGCAAGACGGCGGCGGCGUGCGACGUGGGAGUGGGCGGCGUUGCUGGCCGGAUGUGGAGUCGCCGGCAAAAAUGGACGGCGGCGUCGGCGACGAAGGAGGCGGGCGAGGGUUGGAUGGGGGGAAGCCGAUGUGUCACCGACCAGCGGGCCCGUAGAGGAGAAGGUGAGCGUGUACACGUCCGUCUCCGCGCCGACGCAAAUCGAUCCGGCUAAAAAAUGGAUCAGAAAUGGAUCGUCCGCGGACGAAAACCGAACGCGCGUUCGUUUGGGUCGACAGGUUGGGCCUUUUAUGUUCGGAGACAACGUGGAGUUCCGUGGAGCCAAAGAAAGGAUGCAGCGGCGGCGCGGACGUGGAUUCGGCGGAAGACGGCAAAAGUUGGGCUGGGUUGGGACUGGGAGCAAAAGGACUGGACAGGAGCAUCUGAGGACGAACCGAAGAGGAAGCUUGCAGGAACGUUCAUGUGGCAACACGAGACACGUGCGAGCCAACUUGUCCAAUUUCUCCACGACGCUCCAGCCAAUCUGGGCAACGCCGGAAGCAUCCAACGGCACCGGACCGGGUAGCUUGGGAAGAAAGCACUCCCAAGCUCAACCUCUCUAUAAGUAUGUAUGUGCAGUGCACAGAAAAAAGUAUCAUAGCAUACACUAGAAUCCAUCUCCUGGCUUCAAUCAACCCACAGGGCUAAGCACUACGCGUCGAGAGGGAGAUGGCGAAUCUGUUCCUGAAGCAGGCGAAGCACUAUGCGGCGGCGCGGCCGGACUACCCGGCCGAGCUCUUCCAGUUCAUCGCCUCCAAGACGGCGCGCCAUGACCUCGCGUGGGACGUCGGCACCGGCAGCGGCCAGGCCGCAGUCUCGGUGAGCCUCCCCCCGCCCCCGCUUCUCUCCAUCCCCGUCGACCGCCGUCCAUGCAUGAGUUUCUAUAUAUGUUUGCCUUUUCUUGAGCCAGUUCAUGCUUGAAAUGAAAUCAGCUUUUGACUUUAAAUCUUUGAUUGAAUUUCGCUUACGGCGUGCGCUUUUAAAUCUUUAUUAUGCCAACGUCCCUUUCAGUGGACCCAUUCUGAGCUUCCAUGUUCGUGCCAACUUUCAACCACUUGACCAGCAUCUCCUUUUUAGCUAGUUGGAAUCUUACCAUCUCACUACCUCCAAACAUUUCUUGCGUUCAACAUCAGCAAUCUCUAGUGGAAUUCAGAUACACUUUGUACAGCAAGCAAUUGACUUGUCCCGGCCUCUCGUGUCUGCAGCUGGCGAAGCUGUACAAGAAGGUGGUGGGCACGGACACGAGCGCGCAGCAGCUGGCCUACGCGCCGGCCCUCCCCAACGUGCGGUACGCCCACACACCGGCGGACCUGCCGCUCGAGGGCAUCCACGCGGCCGUCGCGCCGCCGGGCUCCGUCGACGUGGUCACCGUGGCGCAGGCAUUCCACUGGCUCGACCUGCCGCGCUUCUACGCGCAGACGCGCUCCCUCCUGCGCGCGCACGGCGUACUGGCCGCAUGGUGCUACACGGAGCCCCGCGUGGGCGCGGCCGUCGACGCCGUCUUCUGGCGCCUCUACAACGGCUCGCAGCCGCACUGGGCGCCCAACCGGAAGAUGGUCGACGACGAGUACCGCAGCGCCGACUUCCCCUUCGACCCCGUCGACGGGGAGGAUCACACGGGCCCCUUCGAGUUCUCCACGGAGCGCAGCAUGGACCUUGACGACUACUUCACCUACAUCAAGUCUUGGUCCGCGUACCAGACCGCCAAGGACAAUGGCGUCGAGCUGCUCGACGAGGACACCGUGCGGGCGUUCGCUGACGCGUGGGGCGACGACCGUGGGGAGGUCAAGACGGUGAGGUACCCCAUCUUCCUCAGGAUCGGCAAGGUGAGGCCGGAAUCAACGGAUGCGGCAUGAUGAUGCGAGUGGCCUUGAGGAAAGGAUGCUGUCGAGUCUGCUCGCACCAAUACGCCGCACUGAGGAUGCUGCUGGGAUAUGAAUAAGAUGUUUUUGGGUCCCUCAUGGUCCCAUUCCAUAUUCAGUUUUAUGAAAUAUGGUAUUGUUAAUAGAAUUUCCAGUCUCAUUCCGCGGAGCCAGCUCAAAUUUAUAGCCUGGGCAAGAUAUACAUGAUGCCAAGUUAAUUAGAUUUUGCCCAAAAAACUAUGAAGUAAACCAUGUUUCACUACUAGAGCUCCAUUCACAUGCCCCAUGGGAGCCCGGGCAGCAGCCCCGGCUGUCUUCAGCAGUUCUAAAUUGGAUUAUCAUUCGACUUGUAAUAUAAUGUUACCUUUGACUAUCAUAUGAACAUUAUGCAAACGAGUCUUCAAUUCAUUUGUGGAGGUUUGCUACUCCCUCGAGGUAGAACCAAAUCUAAUGCCAUAUAGAUUUUGAAAUGUAAAUAAUAUUUUUCAGGGUUGACCUAUUGUCUUUAAGGUUCAGUACUUAAUUAAGAACAGAGACAAGUUUCGGUACAUGCUCAUUAUCAUGCAACAAGUUUGCAUGUGAUUUGCCAGAGUUGAUAUAUAUUAUUUCAUACUUUCUGUCUAUGCAUGAGAUUCGUGUAACGUGUAUAUGUGGGUAUAUGAAAUGGAAAGUGUAGGUUCUAGGACAACAUAAGCAUCUCGCAAUAGUAGUCAAGGCGAUGAAGCACAAUGUACCCAAAUCCAAACUACAGAGGUGGGUAAAAAUCUUACAUCCUACUUUUGUGUGGAUCUCCUAUUAUCUUGUAAUAAAUUACUCCAUCCGAUCCAUAUUAAUUGUCUCCAAUUAGCAAUAAUUAAUAUGAAUAGGAAGGAGUACAAGGGUAUUGUGGGUUGGCUAAUGGUUAAAGUGAGAAUCAAUAUGGUUCUUGGUCGUUUUGACAAUGUAGAUAUAUUCAAACCCAAUGUCGAUCUCAACCUCAAGUAUGAUCUACCUUCUUGCUCCGGCCUCCGGGUCCUUAUAUUGCAUCCAAGUGAGGUUUCACUCUGAGCCAGACUCCUGCUCUUCCAUAGCUAAGGAAAAAUGAGAUAUUAAGGGCCAUGACGACAAUGUUUGGUAACAUUUUGGUCAUGCAUCACAUGCAAGUGCAUUGGCACCAUGAUAUUCACGUCCGAACACCUUUACUCUCACCAUAGUCAUCAUAGAAUUAAAUAUGAGAGAUAUUGAAUGGAUGUGACGACAUGAAGUGUCACCACUUAAGACCAUUGUCUUCACCUUCAAUAUUAGAGGGACCAAAGUCCCAAGAACAAUAUGCAUUGUUUGAGCCCCAAAGCCUUCACCAGGGCCGGUCCUGGCGUAUGGCGGGUGGACGGCUGCCUAGGGCCAGGCCGGGAGGGGGGCAUGAUUUAGGAUACAUAUAUAAUAUUGCCUAGCAAAAAUAGGUAAGAAAAAAGUUAUACAAGAGAAAAGAAACGAGAUGGGCUAGGCCCAUACCUAGAUAGCGAUCACGAAGCGUAACCCAUGCCAGAUGGACAAUCGUUUUGCUUCUCUGAAACAAAUCAAUGGAAGAUCUCGUCUUGUGCUCAUUUGAAAAGAAAACUUUCCUUAAGCUCAUUUGAAAAGGGAACUCUUCCAAUGGCCAAAAUCCUAACACUUAUGGAUGCCAAAUUUAAGUCUGGAUCAAUCAAACAGAAUACCAGAGACAUGUCUUCACCAACACAUGAUCUUCCACUAGGAAGAUGGCAUUAGAUGGACGGACGUGUAAACAUAAAUUCUACCUCGACCAAACACUAGACAAACACACAUCACUUCACUAUUUUUGUCGAGGGAUCUCUACGUGCCACCUUUGCGGUUCUGGUAUUCUUUUUGUGUGUACUUCCUCAUGUUAGUGUAUUCGAGGUAGUACAUACUCCUGCAGGACAGAAUGCGCAUACUUUGCAUGUUAUUUGGGAUGUACUUCCCAUGUGGUUUGCAUGACUUCUUUUGUUUAUGUGUGUUUGUGUGCGUGCGCAUGCGUCCCUAGUUUUUCUGAAGUUAGUGUGUGCAUAUUUGCUUCUUCUUUCCCUACUUUGGAAGUUGUUGGGUCUUCAAGAGUAAAUGACUGUAGGUCAGCAAAAUUUUUCCUCAAGUGAAUGACCUAAGAUCUAUCGAAUCAGAAAGACUGCUUGGAUUGCACCAAACAAUUAGUUUUGACACACAAUCACAUACUUCUUCUUGAUCCCCAAUGAAACUAGCGAGAUUGCUCAACCUUACUAACUUAGCUAGUUACAAGGAUUAAUAUAUAUUGUGGAUGAAACUGGUGAUUGCAAUUAAGGUAAACAAACGUUCAGAUUUUAAGCAAUACAGGAAUAUUUUCAUCGAGGUUGAAAGCAACGAGGAUGAAUGUACUGGCACCCAUAACUUCACUAGCAGCAUCUCCCCGUAAAGCAUAGAAUAAGUAUGAUGAACAAAUUAUGGAUGUAUAUCGAUUAACUGCAGUUUUUAUAUGAUUAUUCAUAGCACGUUUGCAUAUAGGCAUUAUGUCCUUAUGGUAUCUUCAACGCUUUAAAUCAAACCGCUCGUAAACGUCCGAACGUUCAGACACUUUGUGCCCUCCAACAACGACUCCAUAUCCGAUAGCAUAGACCUCUUAUGAUGACUGGCCACUGACCACGCGUUAGUGAUGAGCCUUAACACUUGCCAACCUGUACUCUAUCGUCAUUUCUAGCAUCUCUUGGGCUCGACAUGAUGAUUAUCAUCAACUGUUCUUAAAAUGGUUGUUCAAUGAUAGUUUUGCCACGAUAAUCAAAAGGGACCGAAGGUAAUCACCGGCCGACCAGUAUAUUGAACACGUAUGUGUAGUCUAUUCAAAUUAGAUCCAUUUUUUUCCCGGCGGUCGGUAUUACAUUGUUUGGUCGAAUUAAUCAAUCGUUCACCGCCACUCCAUAAUAGAAACCCUCACUGCCCAUCACUAUUGCCGCGAGUAUUCUUUCCCCAUACUUCCACAUUGUCAUGGCUCCAUAGGUCAUAGAGAGUUUUUCGUCAUGCUCGGCAUCUUUCGGCGGAAAUAUGCAGUUUGGUCAUCGUCCGCGCCGCCAUGUUGUCACCACCUUCGUUGAAGUUCGGCCAUUCUUUCGUUUUCGUCCAUUCGAUCGGGUAAUUGCAUUCCACACCACCCUCAGACGCCAGGUAUCUUUCACAUGUGUGCGCGGUCAUAGAUCUUACAUGGGCUUUGUCAUUCUUCUUUCACAGCAGGGGCCAUGAUUGUGAUCUUUGUUUCUUUCUAUUAGUGUUCAAAUUGGAAGUUUGCUAUGCAUCACGUGGACAUUUCAUUAUUAUUGUGCUAUAAAUUUCUAUGUUAGUUUACUAUGCAAGUUAGCAUGUCAUUUGUGUGCAUUAAGACUAUAUUUCAAACCUUAUAGCCUGAGUAUAUAUGAAUGUUUUGUUUGUAGCACCGAUGAUGAAAGACAUAACUAUGAUGGUUUUAUUCGUGUCAUUAGUGGUGAAAAAAACUGAAAAAUAUGUCUGGGUAAAAUUUUCCAUAAGUUUGCCACUUACUCUAGUAUCUCUAUUUCUAUAAAAAAAUAAUCAUUAUGCAUUACCAAUUCAUAUACCAAAUUUAUAUGUGUACCAUCUUUGGGAAAGUGACUCCCUUCAACUACCCCUUCUACGUUCUAUUUAUUUCCAAUAAUACAAAAUACAAUAUUGUUCGUUGCUAAGUCUGUUUUAGUUGACAUUCCCUUCCUUUUUUAUCUUCUUUACUAGCAUGCUUAAACCUCCACAUGCAAGCUAUCAGUUGGAGAUAAUUUUGUCUACCAUGGCUAUAUUUGGUUGAUGUUACAUAGAAGAACAAUAAAAGUGGUUGGCGUUUUCCAUCGAGGUUAGUUUCAUACCUUGUCUUAUAUUAUAUUAUGCCUUUCUGCAAUUGCAAUUUAACUUCUAAUAUUAACUUCUUGCUUGUAGGUGCAUAUGUCUUGGGUUCAAAUCCACGCUUGGACCCUUUUGCAUAGGAGUAAUAAGAUAUUCCUGAAACAUCAUCAAGUGAGAAAACCAAUAAAGAUUGUUAGCAAGAAGAGACGAAAGAUGACAAUUAAUCUACUCCCUCUCUUCCUAAAUACUUGUUGUUGAGGAGAAUUAGAUUAGUUCUUCCUAACAACAAAUAUUGUGGUACAGAGUGAGUAUUUGAUUAUGCUCUAUCCAACACAACAAUGAGUACGAACUGUGUACCCUUCUUUUUACUACCCAUAAUGAGUUGUUAGACCACAAUGUUUGAAUCAUUUUAAUUUGCAGUGGUUCCCAAAGCAGUUUACUGAAGAUUACCUCACAAACUACAUGAUUAAUCGACAUUGCAAUGAAGGUUAAAGUAUUUCAUCCAUCCAACAAUGAGUACCUAGAAGUCCUCAUGAACACCUUAAAGGAUGGUCGGGUGGUCAUGACAAGGGGUUGGCCUAAAGUCAUGCGUGCAUUCGACAUGAAGGAGGGCACAAUAUGAGCAUUCUGUUUCACCUUCUCCAGCAUACAGAAUGUCUUUUACAUGUUUCUUUACCGUCUUUAAUACAACGGUAUUUAAUCAUUCUUUAUUUGGCGCUUAUGUAGUUCUUGAUAUGUACAUGUGAAUCAAAUUAUGCAUUCGUUCUUGAACGUAGUUGUAUACAUGAUCGACAUAAAAUAUGUGAUUGCCUACUCUCAAGUUUAAAUCAUGUUUCAAAUUCCAAAUUGAUUUUUCUUGAAUUUUAAAUGCAGAGACUAAGUUACGGUGAAAAUUGUGCUUUGUGGGCUUUUCAAAUUCACACAGUUUGCAAAAGUUAAACGUUUGUGAUCAAGCACAAGAUCAUACACGUUUUUUUAGAUCAUGACGUGUGCGAUGAAUCUCUAUGGCACAGAUUAUUAGCGAGAAAAAUGCGUGUGAGAUGAACAAAAACAGAACACAUAGUUCCUUCCUGCUAAAUGGUUGUGAUAGUCCCCUUACCACACAUGAUUUGCAAUCACGAACUGUUUAUGAGGUUGUGUGCAUUGUAAGGGUUGGGCAGAAAAGAACGCAUGUGAUAGGUUUAUCUACGCACACGGGUUUUAUGGAUGAAGCAUCUAGGACAUUUUAUAUAUCGCAGAUGCUUAAAGAUAUAGUAAACGUGUGGGAUAAUUACAGGCUUUGCACACGGUUUUCCAAAGCCAACCUCAUGCAUUCUUAUAUACUAUCAAAACGUUUUAGAACCAGAUGUUUGUGAGAGGCUGAUACACGUGAUCUGCGUCGGGUUUUCUAUGAAGAUGAAUGGGUUAUCGCAGCAUAAAGUGGGUACGUAUUUCCCUCAGUUAUGAAACCAAGAUUUAGCGAACCAAUAGGAAUAUCAACCACAACCUUCUUCAGCGGUUGCACACAAAAGAACAAACAACUUGCACCCAACACGGUAAGACGGUUGCAAUCCUCUUGUCUUGUUAUUUGCAAGCAAGUGAGGUGUGUAGAUAAUUGCAGAUAGCAAGAUAGUAUAAAAACAAGUAAGUAACAUCAAGGUAAUAAAGGUUUUAUCAAUAUGUUGUGAAUAGACCCGGGGUCAUAGCUUUCCCUAAUGGCAUCUCUCAUAGAAAUAGCAUACAGUGGGUACACAAAUUAUUGUUGGGCAAAUGACAGAAAAGCGGAUAGUUAUGCGAUAUUCACGUCAAUGAUCAUGUCUAUAUAGGCAUCACGUCCAUAAACAAAUAGACCGACUCCUACCUGCACCUAUUACUAUUACUCCACUCAUCGAUCGCUAUCCAACAUGCAUCUAGAGUAUUAAGUAACAUAGAGUAAUGCAUGAAGAACAAAUACAUGAUGUAGACAAAGUAAACUCAUGCAAUAUGAAUAAACCCCAUCAUUUUAUCCUUAGUAGAAGCAACACAAAGACACAUCUUGUCCCCUUCUAUCACCGGGAUAUAGAAAUUUGCCAGGUUGAACCUACGACAACGCAUCUCUGUCACCGGAGAAAUAUCGAUCUAGUUGGCCAAACUAUUUCAAUAGAUCGGAGAGAAUUACGAAGCUAUCAUAAUCAUGCAUGUAUGAAUCAUAUAAGUAUUCAGAGGUGACUCAAAUAUUUAUCACCAAUAUUCUGAACAUAAAUCCACAAUUCGUCGGAUCCCAACAAACGCACCGCACAAAAGUAAUUAUAUCAUAUGGAUCAAAGCAAAGACGUGAUGACCAUUGUAUUGAAGAUCAAAGAGAGAAAGAGAUUGCCAUCUAGGUACUGACUAUGGACCUGUAGGCCUAUGGUGAACUACUCACACAUCAUCGCAAGGGCAGCAAGGUUGAUGAAGAGGCCCUCCGUGAUCGAUCCCCCCUUCGGCAGGGUGCCGGAACGGAGCUCCAGAUGGCCUCCCGCUAGAACAGUGACUUGCACGGAGUAAAAAGUGUUUCGGGACUCCCUCUCUUGUUUUGAGUGUAGAUGAGAAUUUAUAAGCCAAAGAACGGAGUCGGCAGGGCGACGAGGGAGGAACCAGCCAUCAGGACGCCCCCUAGGCCUCACCCUGUUGGCUUGUGGGUCCCUCGUGAGGCCUCCAGCCUUCUUCCGAUUCUCGUUUGGUCUAGAAAAAUUCACCAAAAGUUUUAGGGCAAUUGGACUUCGUUUGGUAUGGAAAACCUGAAAAGUGAAAAACACGCAGAAAACAACAAUUAGCACCGGGCACUGAAUCAAUAGGUUAUUGCUCAAAAAUAAUAUAAAAUGGUAAAUGAAUAUCCCAAAAGUAUUCUAGAAUGAUAAUAUAUUAGCAUGAAACAAUAGAAAAUUAUAGAUACGUUGGAGACGUAUCACGCAUCCCCAAUCUUAAUUCCUUCUCGUCCUCGAGUAGGUAAAUGAUAAAAACAUAAUUUUUGAUGUGACAUGCUAUCCAUGAUGUAGCCUUAUGCAUAUAUGCUUAUUGAGAAACGACAAAUUAACAAACAUUAACAUAGCAAUACUUAUAGGUAUAAGAAGAAAGUCAUUAAUCUUUAAAAGCAUACGAUUCUCAAAGAUAGUUUUGCCCCACAUCCAUCUUUAUUAUAAAAGCAAGGCAUGGCUCCAUCUUCACCACAGUAAUACAAAUAUCAAGCACCACGGUGUUCAAGUCAGGCAAUUGGAUCGUAUUUCUCAAUAUGCACCAACUUUUUAUUCUUUACGCAAUACAUGAGCGUGAACCAUUGGACAUAGCAUAAAAGUGCAAUAGAAUAUGAUUGUAGGUUUCAGAGAGGUAAAAGUGAAGAAGAUAGUCUCACAUCAGCUAGGCGUACCAACGACCUAUGGAGAUGACCGUUGAUAGAUAUCGAUGCGAGGAGUAGGGAUUGCCAUGCAAAUGAUGCACACGAGCUAUAAGUGUAUGAAAGCUCUACUGAAGCUAAGUGGGGGUGUGCAUCCAACUUGCUUGCUCAUGAAGACCUCGGGCAUUUGAGGAAGCCCGGCAUCAAAAUAUACAAGCCAAGUUUAUGAAAAAGUGAUUCCCGUCAUGAAUGAUGUAACAUGAGACUCUAUAUGAAGAACAAGGUGUCACUUUGAGGCAGAAGUGUAGUAAAGGAAAAUAGCAAAGUCCUUUCUCUCUUUUUCUCUCAUUUUUUAUGAUGGGAUCAUUUGGCCUCCCCCAUUUUUAUUUCCUCACUCGGACAAUACUCUAAUAAUGAUGAUCAUCCACUUUUAUUUACUUACCUCAACAUGAAACUGAUAAGACGAUAUGACUCUGAAUGAAUGCCUCUCGUAGGAUACCGGGAUGUGCAAAGAUCUAGCGUGACAUCUAUACAAAAUAUGAUGAACGGUGGCUUUGCCACAAAUACUAUGUCAUCUCUAUAGGAUCAUGCAAGCCAUUAUAAUGAUGAACAAACUAAGUCAUGUGAAGUGACGAUGUCAUUCACAUGGCAAUAUAUCUCAGAGUGGCUAUGGAAAUGCCAUGAUAGCUAGGUAUGAUGGUUGUUUUGAGGAGGAUAUAAAAAGGUUUAUUUGCAACAGAGCGUGUCAUGUCACGGAGUUUGGAUGCACCGGUGAAAUUUGCACCGAUCCUCAAGGUGAGAAUGGGCGAUGCACAAUACUGAAGAGGCUAGCAAAUCUGAGGAGGUGAGAGUGCAUAUGUCCAUGGUGUCACAUUAGUCAUGAAGAACUCAUAUACUUAUUGUAAAGUUUUAUUAGUUUUAUCACAAAUCAAAGUACUACUCGCAUGCCCCGAGGGAGAGGACUGGUAGGAAUUAACUAUCGCUCGACUCCGAUUCAAAACAACACAAUGAUUUCAACGAGGAAUAGAAAUGCUCACACAUCAGCACCGUGCGUUUUUAAUUUUUUAGAUGAACAAGAAGUUUAACAUCUCUUAAUAUCGACACCUGUCUGAAUUAAUAAUAGUGCACUCACACCAUUUUCAUAUCACCACAUCAAUAUCAUUAACCCACAAUUUCUCUAUAUGUGCUACAUGAUGGUUUUUAUCAUCACUCAUUGGAUACUCAUUAUUUUUUAUCUAGUAUUAUGACCCAUGAAGAUUACCAUUAUUAUUUGUCCAGCUCUCAAAAUAAUUUAAGUGAAGAAAUAGAUCAUAAUAUUUCUAUAAAAUCUACACGCCAUCGUGCUCAAAAAGAUAUAAGUGAAGUACUAGAGCAACUGCUAAGCUCAAAAGAUAUAAGUGAAGCACAUAGAGUAUUCUAACAAAUUAUGAUGAUGUGGUAUCUCUUUCAAAUAGGUGUGUCUAGAAAACAAUGAUUGUGGCAAACUGAAAGUAAAAUCAAACAAAGUGCAAACAACGCUCCAAGCAAGACUCAUAUCAUGUGUGAUGAAUAAAAAUAUAGCUCCAAGUAACAUACCGAUGGAUUGAGACGAAAAGAGGGGAUGCCUUCCGGGGCAUCCCCAAGCUUAUACGCUUGAGACUUCCUAGAAUAUUACCUUAGGUGCCUUGGGCAUCCUCAAAGUUAGGCUUUUGCUGCUCCUCAAUCCUUUGUCCAUGAGGACAAUACGCAAAACUUGAAACUUUCAAUCACAUAAAACUCAACAAAACUUCAUGAGAUCCGUUACUAUAAGCAACAUAUCAAAUACUUUUAGGUGCUGUUACAAAUUGAUUAAAAUUUUAUUUUAGCAUAGGGUAUUGUAUCUUAACUCCUCCAUGGCUUAUACCCCCCACCCGAUACAAUCCAUAGCAUCAUCAAAACACUAACUAAAAUAUAAAAACACCAUCAUUAUAGAGGGGAUAAUCAUGUUACCACAAACUAACAGAAAAUGAAAAGCAAACAAUAUGAUAACUAUUGGGUUGCCUCCCGACAAGAACUAUUGUUUAUAGCUAUUAAGAUAGGCUUGAAAUUUCAAUGGUGCUCACAUAAAAGACAAGAAUUGAAUCACAAAGAGAGAAUCAUAACACAUGUGACAAGAACAUUUAAGUCUAAUAUACUUCCUAUGCAUAGGCAUUUUAUAAGCAAACAAUUUAUCAAGACAAAAAGUGUCUAGCAUAAGCAAGUAGGAAGAAUGAAGCCUUAACAAUUUGAAUAUCAAGAGAGGUAAGUGAAUAACAUGAAAAUUUCUAUAAACUAAUUUUCCUCUCUCAUAAUGAUUACAUGUGGCAUCAUAUUCAAAUUCACAAAUAUAGCAAUCAUGGUUUUCAUUCAAGAAACUAUCAUGAAUCACUUUAUAAAUUUCACAAUUUUUAGAUUCAUGAUUUUCAAGUAAGACCACAUAACGACAAACUAGUGCACUCUCAAAGGCAAUUGUUUAAACAUAAACAGGUCUUUUGAAAAGAUUAUCUAGUGGAUGAGGAUCCAUUUAUCUUGAUUGUUGCAUUUUACUUUCUGUUUUGGUGUGGCAAAGAUAAAGAUAGCAUAGCUAGGCAAGUAAACUAGAGAGCAAAGAUGCAAACUAGUGACAAGCUAAGCAAGCAAAGGUAAGUAUUUUAUAUUUUUUAUGAGACAAACAAAAUAUACCAAAAAAUAAAAAGAGGAACAAGUUAAUGAAAAUUUGUGUGGACUUACUUGGUAGCUGGUGAUGUUAUUCCCCGGCAACGGCGCGAGAAAUCGUUCGUGAUACUUGUGAUCUGGGUUGGAUUUUGCAUGAAGAGGAACGGGUUAUCGCAACACAAAGUGAUAAGUAUUUCCCUAACUUAUGAAACCAUGGUUUAUCGAACCAAUAGGAAUAUCAACCACAACCGUCUUCAACGCCUGCACAUAAAAGAACAAAUAACUUGCUCCCAACGCGGGCAAGAGAGUUGUUAAUCCUCUUGUCUCGUUAUUUGCAAGCAAGUGAGGUGUGUAGAUAAUGAUAGAUAACAAGAUAGAAUAAAAACAAGUAAAUAACAGCAAUGUAUUAAAGGUUUUAUCAAUAUGUUGUGAAUAGAUCCGUUGGGGGGUAGCUUUCCCUAAUGGAAUCUCUCAUUGAAAAUAACAUACAUUGGGGGUAAACAAAUUACUGUUGGGCAAUUGACACAAAAAAAGAUAGUUAUGCGAUAUUCACGACAAUGAUCAUGUGUAUAUGGGCAUCACAUCCAUAAAAAAAAUAGGCCGACCCCUGCCUGUACCUAUUACUAUUCUUCCACUCAUCGACCGCUAUCCAGCAUGCAUUUAGAGUAUUAAGUAAAACAGAGUAAUGCAUGGAGAACAAUGACAUGAUGUUGACAAAGUAAACUCAAGCAAUAUGAAUAAACACCAUCAUUUUAUCCUUAGUAGCAGCAACACAAACACACAUCUUGUCCCCUUCUGUCACUGGGAUAUAGAAAUUCGCGAGGUCGAACCUACCACAACGCACCUCUCUCGCCG